UGUGCUCCAGGUGUGUCACAACAGCCACAGCUGGGCCCUGCUGAGGGGAAAAUGAGCUAGAAUUGUGCUGGUUCCUAAAGAUCCAUCUAGAAACAUAACUCCAUCCUUCUGGAUUAUUGUCUCACAUUUAUCCACUGGAAUUCAGACCUAUUGGGAUCCUGUGUGGGAAAAGACAUCCAGGAGAAUGUUUGGAUGUUAUUUAGCACAGGGAGGCCGCAUUUCUGAACUCGUAGGGGCUGAUCCGAGUGCUCAGAGUGUCAAAUUCCCUCAGGUUUCCAAGUAAAAGUGUGGAUGCACUGCCUCCACCUGAGGAGCUUUGCAGUGCUGCUUUCACGGCUUGGAUGAAGCAGGACGAGCACGGGAGCUGGAAGGACUUGAAGCCGCAGAGAGGACGUGGAAUUCUGUUGGCUGCUUGCAAGGAAAGGAAGGAAAACAUUCUCCACUCAGUUCCUCAUACCUUCUGAAAAGGAUGAUGAAUGGGCUGGUUCUGCCUAAGGGAGUGUGUUCAAGCACAAGGCUGUUAAACCCUUUCCAGCUGGCAGAGAAAUCACAUGCAGAUGGAAGAGGCUGACAAUGUGCUACGAGGAGGUCAAAGCUGGGAAUCCACAGAUGGAGGGUGCAAAACACAGCCAAAACCCCAAAAAGUUUCUGGUUCACAAUGGAUUGUGAAUAGAAGGAAUAAGCAAUAAUGGGCAUCCUUAAAAACCCUCCAUUGCAGUCUCCUGGUCUUUUAAGGGAUGUGGGAAUGAUUUAUGUCCAUAUUUACUGACAGCUGGGAGGAGAUUCAGCUUUAUUUCCUUUAUUUAUAUUUAAGGAAAAGCAGUAGCCAAGGUAAGACAAGAACAAUUGCUGACCAAGCUUUCCUCCACACACAAUCCUCAAACAAAACACAAUCCUCACACAGAGCUACAAUAAUUGAUGCACUUGUGUGUUUUACAAGCAGUGAGAAUCCCUGAAAUGAAAUGAGCAGCUGUGAAUGAAUUUGUGUGGGAACCUGACACUCUAAUGGGUUUCCAUCCAGCUCUGAGGUGAAGGAGAGGUUGAAAAGCAAAUCUCUGCAAGUGUCACCUCACUGGGCUGGGAUGGGGAAAGCAGCACUUCAGUCCCAGCUCACAAAGGCUUCCCUCUCUGCACUGCUUCAUUUCCUUGGUGUCCAUUCCCAGAAAAAUGAGGUUCACAUCAUUUCUAUAGAAUUUAAAAGUUUAAUAAAAAGACAAUUAGGAGAAAAAAUAAAGUAUACAGAUAC